CCUACGGGAGGCAGCAGUGGGGGAUAUUGCACAAUGGGGGAAACCCUGAUGCAGCGACGCCGCGUGAGUGAAGACGUAUUUCGGUAUGUAAAGCUCUAUCAGCAGGGAAGAAAAUGACAGUACGUGAGCAAGAAGCCCCGGCUAACUACGUGCCAGCAGCCGCGGUAAUACGGAGGGGGCAAGCGUUAUACGGAUUUACUGGGUGUAAAGGGAGAGUAGACGGUUAUUUAAGUGUGGAGUGAAAGCCUGGGGCCCAACCCCGGGACUGCUAUUGAGACUGUGUGACUGGAGUACAGGAGGGGUAGGCGGAAUUCGUGGUGUAGCGGUGAAAUGCGUAGAUAUCACGAGGAACACCGGCGGCGAAGGCGGCCUGCUGGACUGAGACUGACGUUGAGGCUCGAAAGCGUGGGGAGCAAACAGGAUUAGAUACCCCAGUAGUC
rnacentral:rRNA from 1 species